GGCUCGGUAGCUUAGUUGGUAAAGCGCUCGUCUAGCAUACAAGAGUCCUGGGUUCAAAUCCCACCCGAGCAC
rfam:Aedes aegypti strain Liverpool supercont1.686 genomic scaffold, whole genome shotgun sequence.